rnacentral:rRNA from 1 species
UACGGGGGGGGGCAAGCGUUGUUCGGAAUUACUGGGCGUAAAGGGCUCGUAGGCGGCCAACUAAGUCAGACGUGAAAUCCCUCGGCUUAACCGGGGAACUGCGUCUGAUACUGGAUGGCUUGAGUUUGGGAGAGGGAUGCGGAAGUUCCAGGUGUAGCGGUGAAAUGCGUAGAUAUCUGGAGGAACACCGGUGGCGAAGGCGGCAUCCUGGACCAACACUGACGCUGAGGAGCGAAAGCCAGGGGAGCAAACGGG